UUAUCAAAGAGUUUAUAUAAAGGUAAAUAAACACAUGAAAAGAUGGGCAACGUUAUUAGCCAGAAGGGAAAUGCAUGUUAAAACCAUAAUGUGAUAUCACUACACACCUAUCAAAAUGACUAAAAUAAGAAACAGUGACAACAUGAGAUGGCGAGAAUGCAUAGAAACAGGAUUAUUCCUAGAUUGCUGGUGAAUGUAAAAUGGAACAGUCACUGUGGAAAAUAGUUUGGUAGUUCUUUUUUUUUUAUUUUAAUUUUAUUUUUAUUUUUUUUGUAGAGACAGAGUCUCACUUUAUGGCCCUCGGUAGAGUGCCGUGGACUCACACAGCUCACAGCAACCUCCAACUCCUGGGCUUAAGCGAUUCUCCUGCCUCAGCCUCCCGAGCAGCUGGACUACAGGCACCUGCCACACGCCCGGCUAUUUUUUGGUUGCAGUUUGGCCGGGGCCGGGUUUGAACCCGCCACCCUCGGUAUAUGGGGCUGGCGCCCUACCGACUGAGCCACAGGAGCCGCCCAGUUUGGUAGUUCUUUAUACAGUUACAAUCUUGGUCUUCUAUCCUGGACAACUGAAAAUGUAUCAUCACAUAAAAAUCUGCACAUAGUUGUUCAUAGAAGCUUUCCUGGAAAUAGCCAAAAAUUGGAAGCAGCCCAAAUGUCCUUCAGUGGGUGAGUGAUUAAACAAACGGUGGAUAUGUCCACACCAUAGAAUACUGCUCAGCAAAAAAAGGAAUGGGCAAUAGUCAUUGGUACGCACAAUUUGGAUGGAUCUCAAGGGAAUUAUGCCGAAUGAAAAAAGCCAGUCUCAGAGGCCGGGCGUGGUGGCUCACGCCUAUAAUCCUAGCACUUGGGAGGCCGAGGAGGCUGGAUUGUCUGAACUCACAGGUUCGAGACCAGCCUGAGCCAGAGUGAGCCCUCAUCUCUAAAAAAAUAGCUGAGUGUUGUGGUGGUCGCCUGUAGUUCCAGCUACUGGGGAGGCUGAGGCAAGAGAAUCGCUUGAGCCCAAGAGUUUGCGGUUGCUGUGAGCUAUGACGUCACAGCACUCUACUGAGGAUGACAAAGUAAGACUCUGUCUCAAAAAAAAAAAAAGAAAAGAAAAAGCCAGUCUCAAAGGAUUACAUAUACUAUGAUUUCAUUUACAUAACAUUCUAGAAAUGACAGGAUUAUAGAAUUGGUGGACCUUAUCAAUGUCAAUCUCCUGGUGCUGUUGUGCUGUGGUUAAGCAAGAUGCACCACUAGGGGGAACUGGGUGGAGGGCACAUGAGAUUUGUCUGUAUUAUUUCUUGUAACUGUAUAUGAAUAUACAAUUACCUCAAAAUAAAAAGUAAUAUAGUGUCAAGUUGAAGGAGCAUCCUUUGGCCAAAGAUGGAACAAUUUGAGUAACAAAAGGAGCAGUAAUUGAAAUGGAUUAAAAUACACCAAACAUAUUGAAGUCUGAACGUUUGUGAUAACACACACAUAAAACCCUCACCAGUCAUGUUUGGAAGAUGCUAGGAUACCAUCUCAUUAUUCUGAAUACUGGAAAAUAAAAGAAGAGAGUCAAGUAUUUAUCUUGCUUUUCCUUAGGAAUUUGCCUCAGGAUAAUAAAAUAGUUGAAUAAAACCGUAUAGAAUUCCAGGCAGUAAAUUCAGAAAGAAUGAUAAAAUUGGAAUAGUACCAAUUUGUAACCUAUAAUGAAUCAACAAAUGAAUUUAAACUAUGAUCAGUGGCUGCAAAAAUCAUUAAAUGAGACAAAGAGGGGCGAUGCCUGUGGCUCAAAGAGGUAGGGCGCGGGUCCCAUAUGCCGGAGGUGGCGGGUUCAAACCCAGCCCCAGCCAAAAACCACACACACACACACAAAUAAUAAUAAUGCUAAAUAAAUAAAUUACCCCUCUGUUAAAAAAAAUCUAUAAAUUAGACUAAGAGAACUUGGCAAUAGAUAGAUUAGACUGACAGAAAUUUAACCCACUAAUCAAUCUUUUCAACACAAAAGGAGAGACGGCCAUACAUUCUGUGCUUCCUAGUGUGAUCCAACAGGAAAUACACAAUGCCACCUAUGAGAUGGGGUCUCCCACUUCCUCAGGCUGGUCUUGAUUUUGUCACAAAAUCAGAAUGAACAACCUGAGCAACAGCAAGACCCUGUCUCUUAAAAAAAAAAAAAAAAGGCUCCGCGCCUGUGGCUCAAGUGGCUAAGGCACCAGCCACAUACACGGGUUCAAAUCCAGCCCAGGCCUGCCAAACAACAAUGAGGGCUGCAACCAAAAAAAUAGCCACAGCUGGCAGGCGCGGGGAGGGGGUUGGGGAGGAGGGAAAGUGGCGAGUAAGAUGGAAGAUGAGGAGGUCGCUGAGAGCUGGGAGGAGGCGGCAGACAGCGGGGAAAUCCAAAUCUCCUCCCAAAGUGCCCGUUGUGAUUCAGAACGAUAGCCUUCCCAGGGGGCCCCCUCCACACAUCCUCAUCCUCAAGAGGCCCACCAGCAACGGUGUGGUCAGCAGCCCCAACUCCACCAGCAGGCCAGCCCUUCCAGUCAAGUCCCUAGCGCAGCGGGAGGAGGAGUACGCCGAGGCCCAGAAGCGGAUCCUGGGCAGUGCCAGCCCCGAGGAGGAGCAGGAGAAACCCAUCCUUGACAGGCCAACCAGGAUCUCCCAACCUGAAGACAGCAGGCAGCCCAAUAAUGUGAUCAGACAGCCUUUGGGUCCUGAUGGGUCACAAGGCUUCAAACAGCGCAGAUAAAUGCAGGCAAGAAAGGAUGCUGCCGCUGCCACCAUCACCGCCUCCUGGGUCGUCCGCCACGGGUUGCACUGCCGUGGCAGACAGCUGGACUUGAGCAGAGGGAACGACCUGACUUACUUGCACUGUGAUUCCCCCUUGCUCCGCCCACUGUGAUCCCCCUUGAACCCCAUGCACUGUGACCUCCCCCCUUCCUCCCUCUUCCCACUGUGAUUGGCAUGUCGACAAGGGCUGUCCCAAGUCAAUGGAAAGGGAAAGGGUGGGGGUUAGGGGAGGGUUGGGGAGACCCACCAAGGACUCAGAGUAGAGAGUCAGGCAGUGCCACUUGGCCACUUGGGGUAAAGCUAGUGCCAGCAAUAACAGUUUAUCAUGCUCAUUAAUUUGGGAUUUCAAAACACAAAUGAGAACUCCUGCCUACCCACCCCCAAGUGCAUGUCUUCAUCACUUAAAAAGUAAGUUCCAUUUGAAAAUAUCCUUUCUUUUUUUCUUUUUUUCCUAUUUUUGUUUGUUUAUACAAAUAUCUGAUUUGCAAGAAAAAGCGCAUGGGAGGGGUUUUAGCAGUUUAAUGAAUUUUUAAUUGAGAAAAGGUAGUUUGGUAGUCUACUUAAAAGUGUUUUUAGGACAUUCACUAGAAACAUUAACCAAUAGGAUUUUGAUGAAUUUAGCUUCUAUAUUCCUACUGCCGCCCAGAAAAGGGGCAGGGCUCUGUAGCCCCCAGGACAGAUGAGCACCCCAUGCCUAUACCUCCCUCCCCCAGCUAAGUCCCAGGACAUCUUGGCCUUGCCUGGAGACGGGGCUGGCUCUGUAGGCUCAGAGAGCCUGGGGAGGGUGCCAACCCCACCUCUAGUAUUUUGGGACAUAGGGAAAGUGUACAGACUUCCCCUUCCCAUACCCCUCAGGGUGGUUCCCUACCAGCCAGGCUUGCUAAUUCUAGAAGAAAACAGGGAUUAUCACUGCACUCCUGGAUUUAGAAGUAAAGGAUGUGAGAUUGUUCAGUAUUUUGCUGUCAGCACAGGAAGAUCAGGGGCGAGUCUGGCUUCAGGACUCUGAGCCUUCUUCCUUAAGUGGUCAGAAGGUAGCUAGAUCCUCCCACUCCAGCAAGGCUUGAACUCUUAACUGUCUGUGGUGCUCCAUCUCUGUUGAUGGCCCCAGCUCAGUAACUUUACUUGGUACAUUUCCUGUGUGAAAUCAGUACCUUGGGAGCAGACCAUUUUGAAUAAAAUUGG